AAAUAGCUUAGGCUGAUAAGGGUGAAAUCUGCAUUCGUGGGGUAUUUCUUGGCUAAAGUUCCUUUUUGAUGGUCAAGCAACUAGGAUUAGAUACCCUACUAGCCCAUCAUUGACUAACCUGGGUAGUAGCAUUGAAACCUAAAGAAUUUGGCGGUUCCUAAACUAACUAGAGGAACCUGCCUCAUAAACGACAACCCACGAAAAAAGCUACCCGGGCUCGUUAAACAGCUUAUAUACCGUCGUCCGAGGGGACUAAAUAAAUAGGUCCCCAGAAUGGCGUAGGCCAAAAAAUCAGAUCAAGGUGUAGCUCAUGCCCGGGGGAAGGUGGGUUACAAUAAGAGCUUAGACGGAACCCUUAAGUUAUACAAGGGGGAAGGUGGAUUUAGAAGUAAGACUCAACGAACUGAAGGAGGCUCUGAGGAAUGUACACAUCGCCCGUCGCUCUCUUGUCCGAAGAGAUAAGUCGUAACAAAGUAGGUAAACCGGAAGGUUUAUCUUGAAA
rnacentral:rRNA from 1 species